rnacentral:hammerhead_ribozyme from 1 species
AUCCAGAUGAUGAGUCCCAAAUUGGACAAAAUGAGCAUCCUGAAU